CGCACAUUGCGCCCGCCAGUACUCUGGCGGGCAUGCCUGUUCGAGCGUCAUUUCAACACUCAAGCCCACCCCCGCUUGGCGUUGGGGAUCAGCCGCGCCGACUGAGGCCGGCUGGCCCUGAAAUACAGUGGCGGUCUCGCUGUAGCCUCCCCUGCGUAGUAGCACACCUCGCACCGGAGAGCAGCGCGGCCACGCCGUAAAACCCCCCACCUCUCACAAGGUUGACCUCGAAUCAGGUAGGAAUACCCGCUGAACUUAA
rnacentral:misc_RNA from 1 species